rnacentral:rRNA from 1 species
UAUGGUAAUUGUGUGCCAGAAGAAGGGGUAAUACGUAUGGAGCAAGCGUUAUCCGGAUUUACUGGGUGUAAAGGGAGUGUAGGUGGCCAGGCAAGUCAGAAGUGAAAGCCCGGGGCUCAACCCCGGGACUGCUUUUGAAACUGCAGGGCUAGAGUGCAGGAGGGGCAAGUGGAAUUCCUAGUGUAGCGGUGAAAUGCGUAGAUAUUAGGAGGAACACCAGUGGCGAAGGCGGCUUGCUGGACUGUAACUGACACUGAGGCUCGAAAGCGUGGGGAGCAAACAGG